AUUCUUAUAGUUGAACACAACGAUAGCUUUUCAAGCUAUAAGUCCUGGUUAAAAUCCUGGUGAGAAUC
rnacentral:tRNA from 1 species